CAUGAACGCUAGCGGCAGGCUUAAUACAUGCAAGUCGUGGGGCAGCAGGGGUGUAGCAAUACAUCUGCUGGCGACCGGCAAACGGGUGCGUAACACGUACGCAACCUUCCCGUUACUGUGGCAUAGCCCAGGGAAACUUGGAUUAAUACCACAUAUUAUAUUGGUGAGGCAUCUCAUUGAUAUCAAAGCUUCGGCGGUAAAGGAUGGGCGUGCGGUUGAUUAGGUAGUGUGCGGGGCAACGGCCCACCAAGCCUACGAUCAAUAGCUGAUUUGAGAGCAUGAUCAGCCACACGGGCAAUGAGACACGGGCCCGACUCCUACGGGAGGCAGCAGUAAGGAAUAGUGGGCAAUGGACGAAAGUCUGACCCAGCCAUGCCGCGUGAAGGAUUAAGGUCCUCUGGAUUGUAAACUUCUUUUCUCUGGGGCGAAAACCAGCUAUUCUUAGCUAUUUGACAGUACCAGAGGAAUAAGCACCGGCUAACUCCGUGCCAGCCGCCGCGGUAAGAC
rnacentral:rRNA from 1 species